ACCAGAAGCAUCACCGUGGAGAGGUAUAGGUUCCAGCCCAAGGCUAUCUGGAUGAACAGGGCUCCAGAGAAGAUGUCAGUCUGCAGAGAGCCGGGACCCAGGAGUCCAGGUCACCUGAGGCCCUCGCUGUGGCCACCAGGGUAUGAUGCCUCCUGCUCAGCCAUACCAAGUGCUGUCAGCCCUCAUCACAUAAUGAGGCUGAGCCUAAAGUGCCAUGCUGAGGAGAAUGGGCUUGGCCUCAGGGAUUCUGAGGAGCCGUGGAGAUUUUCAGGCAGAGGAGCACCGCAUAAAACUUUGAAACCGAGAGCAAUGAGGUCUGGUGGCACUGAUGGGAUAGUCUGUGGGCCGUGAUGGCAGGGGGGAAGGAAUGAAGGGAAGACAGAGGAGAGGAAGUGGGGAGCAGGGGUUGGAGAAGAGAGAGCAGGCACCCAGAGGCCCUCUUUUCCCUAGCAGAGCAGAGGCCCGCCCAGCUGCCAGGGGGCCCACGCUGACCAGACGGGUAGGAGCCCCAGGACAGAUGACCGCACUUCUGGAGGCUCUACAUGUUUGGGUUUAUUAGAGGACCCGGCUGACCAGACAACAUGCUGACUUAGGCUUGUUUUCCAGCAUUGGUGGACAAGUGGCUGUACCAUUUUUCCCAUCUCUCGACCUGGCAGCUCGUGGACUCAGUCCCCUUCAGUGCCUGCUUGCUGAUCCCAUUGCAUGGCUGUUUCAUGAACCCAUCCCAGGGCUACAACAGGACGGAGUGCCAGGACGCCUGGACCAGGUCACAGGACCCAAACUUUAGUUCAGUCCCACAGCUCUAUUCUGUGUGGACAUGGGCGAACCAUCUGCCCUAGGUUUGUUUUCGGAGUGUAGGUCAGAGGAGGAGGAAUAAGGAUCUUUUGAACAGUGACAUGUAGGCAACAAAUUCAUGGUGCUUAAUGGAGGAUCAGUUAAUGGAGAGAGAAAUGAAUGAAUGCACUCUAGAUUAGGAAUUAUUUAAAUAGACGCACUGUCAUUUACUUAACAGGUACUUCUCAUUCAUCUGUGAUCGCUCCACUGCUGAGGGAGAGCGUGCAUUGAAGUAUAGGAAACUGAGUCCCGAGAAGAGACAUGUUUAUUCCAAGCCACAAAGUGGGGCAGGAAUUCACACUCCUGCCCUGUGCUGUGACAGAUGAGUGAUCCUGGGAAGGACACGGAGCACGCCGGAUCCAGGGAAGACCAGCUGCCCCAGGGCCCAGGCAGACUGCUAGUCCCAGCAGCCCAGCCCACUGAGCUGCAGAGUGACCAUGGACAGGUCACUAAGUGACUCCAGACCUGGGGUCCCGUCAGCGUGGCCUAUACCCUGCCCACCUCGCAGGGCCAGUGAGUGCCGGUCCUCCUAUCCUCCCCUCUGGAAGUUACCCUUAGGGUUCCACUGCCCACACGCCCUGUCCCCCAGCCCCAUCCUCACAGACGCCCGAUGCCAAGCCCUCACCCUGCACAUUUUACCUAACCUAAACCAGCAGGCUGGGCCCAUAGCAGCCAUCCCUCUGAUGCAUCUGAGACCCAUCUGUUAGCCAGCCAGACAUCUUAGCAGCCCAGAGCCAAGAGAGUGCCAGGAAGGAAGUGAGAGAGGUUUUGAAACCUUCAGAAUAGACGCUGUGAAGCUUAUACAUGAAGGCCACCCGCUGACGCAUCGGUGAGCCCCAGAUCCCCCACUCAGGGCCUGUCUUGUUUUGCUUCGCCUAGAGUGUUAUUUUGUGCUGCAGCUCACAGCAAAUUAAAAACAACAACUUAA